AUUCUUUUGUAGUUCAUAAAUGCGAUGACUGGGUUCUCACGUGUGAGGCGUGUGAGAUGUGCUUCCCUCAAACCCUGUGACAAUAUCCUCAUAUACCCUGUCUGCCA